UUCUGUCUACUGAUAGAUAGUGUUUGUUAGUGGAUAUGUUCUGUCUACUGAUAGUGUUUGUUAAGACUGAACAUAGCCACUAACAAACACUAUCUAUCAGUAGACAGAA
rnacentral:pre_miRNA from 1 species